GUGCUCACUUUGGCAGCACAUAUACCAAAAUUGGAAUGAUACAGGGAAGAUUAGCAUGGCCCCAGCGCAAGGAUGACACGCAAAAAAUUCAUGAAGGGUUCCAUAUUAAA
rnacentral:snRNA from 1 species